rnacentral:rRNA from 1 species
GACGAACGCUGGCGGCGUGCUUAACACAUGCAAGUCGAACGGAAAGGCCCUGCUUUUGUGGGGUGCUCGAGUGGCGAACGGGUGAGUAACACGUGAGUAACCUGCCCUUGACUUUGGGAUAACUUCAGGAAACUGGGGCUAAUACCGGAUAGGAGCUCCUGCUGCAUGGUGGGGGUUGGAAAGUUUCGGCGGUUGGGGAUGGACUCGCGGCUUAUCAGCUUGUUGGUGGGGUAGUGGCUUACCAAGGCUUUGACGGGUAGCCGGCCUGAGAGGGUGACCGGCCACAUGGGGACUGAGAUACGGCCCAGACUCCAACGGGAGGCAGCAGGGGGGAAUAUUGCACAAUGGGCGGAAGCCUGAUGCAGCAACGCCGCGUGCGGGAUGACGGCCUUCGGGUUGUAAACCGCUUUCGCCUGUGACGAAGCGUGAGUGACGGUAAUGGGUAAAGAAGCACCGGCUAACUACGUG